rnacentral:rRNA from 1 species
UGAGCAACCUGCCCUGGACUCUGGGAUAAGCGCUGGAAACGGCGUCUAAUACUGGAUAUGAGCCUCUAUCGCAUGGUGGGGGUUGGAAAGAUUUUUUGGUCUGGGAUGGGCUCGCGGCCUAUCAGCUUGUUGGUGAGGUAAUGGCUCACCAAGGCGUCGACGGGUAGCCGGCCUGAGAGGGUGACCGGCCACACUGGGACUGAGACACGGCCCAGACUCCUACGGGAGGCAGCAGUGGGGAAUAUUGCACAAUGGGCGGAAGCCUGAUGCAGCAACGCCGCGUGAGGGAUGACGGCCUUCGGGUUGUAAACCUCUUUUAGCAGGGAAGAAGCGAGAGUGACGGUACCUGCAGAAAAAGCGCCGGCUAACUACGUGCCAGCAGCCGCGGUAAUACGUAGGGCGCAAGCGUUAUCCGGAAUUAUUGGGCGUAAAGAGCUCGUAGGCGGUUUGUCGCGUCUGCUGUGAAAUCCCGAGGCUCAACCUCGGGCCUGCAGUGGGUACGGGCAGACUAGAGUGCGGUAGGGGAGAUUGGAAUUCCUGGUGUAGCGGUGGAAUGCGCAGAUAUCAGGAGGAACACCGAUGGCGAAGGCAGAUCUCUGGGCCGUAACUGACGCUGAGGAGCGAAAGGGUGGGGAGCAAACAGGCUUAGAUACCCUGGUAGUCCACCCCGUAAACGUUGGGAACUAGUUGUGGGGACCAUUCCACGGUUUCCGUGACGCAGCUAACGCAUUAAGUUCCCCGCCUGGGGAGUACGGCCGCAAGGCUAAAACUCAAAGGAAUUGACGGGGACCCGCACAAGCGGCGGAGCAUGCGGAUUAAUUCGAUGCAACGCGAAGAACCUUACCAAGGCUUGACAUACACCAGAACACCGUAGAAAU